AGUGAACGCUGGCGGCGUGCCUAAUACAUGCAAGUCGAACGAUGAAGUCCUAGCUUGCUAGGAUGGAUUAGUGGCGCACGGGUGAGUAAUAUAUAGUUAAUCUGCCCUACACAGAGGAACAACAGUUGGAAACGGCUGCUAAUACCUCAUACUCCUAUUUGACAUAAGUUAAAUAGGGAAAGUCUUUUCGGUGUAGGAUGAGACUAUAUCGUAUCAGCUAGUUGGUAAGGUAAUGGCUUACCAAGGCUAUGACGCGUAACUGGUCUGAGAGGAUGAUCAGUCACAUUGGAACUGAGACACGGUCCAAACUCCUACGGGAGGCAGCAGUAAGGAAUAUUGCGCAAUGGGGGAAACCCUGACGCAGCAACGCCGCGUGGAGGAUGACACUUUUCGGAGCGUAAACUCCUUUUAUCAGGAAAGAAUAAUGACGGUACCUGAUGAAUAAGCACCGGCUAACUCCGUG
rnacentral:rRNA from 1 species